GAUGAACGCUGGCGGCGUGCCUAAUACAUGCAAGUCGAGCGAACAGAUAAGGAGCUUGCUCCUUUGACGUUAGCGGCGGACGGGUGAGUAACACGUGGGUAACCUACCUAUAAGACUGGAAUAACUCCGGGAAACCGGGGCUAAUGCCGGAUAACAUUUAGAACCGCAUGGUUCUAAAGUGAAAGAUGGUUUUGCUAUCACUUAUAGAUGGACCCGCGCCGUAUUAGCUAGUUGGUAAGGUAACGGCUUACCAAGGCAACGAUACGUAGCCGACCUGAGAGGGUGAUCGGCCACACUGGAACUGAGACACGGUCCAGACUCCUACGGGAGGCAGCAGUAGGGAAUCUUCCGCAAUGGGCGAAAGCCUGACGGAGCAACGCCGCGUGAGUGAUGAAGGUCUUCGGAUCGUAGAACUCUGUUAUUAGGGAAGAACAAAUGUGUAAGUAACUGUGCACGUCUUGACGGUACCUAAUCAGAAAGCCACGGCUAACUACGUG
rnacentral:rRNA from 1 species